UACGGGGGGAGUAAGCGUUGUUCGGAUUUACUGGGCGUAAAGGGCGCGUAGGCGGUCGUGACGAGUCACUUGUGAAAUCUCCGGGCUUAACUCGGAACGGUCAAGUGAUACUGUCGGACUAGAGUACAGAAGGGGCAACUGGAAUUCUCGGUGUAGCGGUGAAAUGCGUAGAUAUCGAGGGGAACACCUGCGGCGAAGGCGGGUUGCUGGGCUGAUACUGACGCUGAGGCGCGAAGGCCAGGGGAGCGAACGGG
rnacentral:rRNA from 1 species